GAUGAACGCUGGCGGCGUGCCUAAUACAUGCAAGUCGAGCGAAGGGACGAGAAGCUUCCUUUUCUGAUGUUAUCGGCGGGCGGGUGUGUAACGCGUGGAAAACCCACCUAUAAGAGUGGGAUAACUUCGGGAAACUGGAUAUAAUAGCGGAUAAUAAUAUGAAUCACAAGGUUCAAAUGUGAAAGGCGGUCUUGCUGUCACCUAUAGAUGGAUCCGCGUUGCAUUAGCUAGUUGGUAAGGUAACGGCUAACCAAGACAACGAUGCAUCGCCGACCUAGGGGGGGGAGCGGCCACACGGGACCUGAGACACGGUCCAAACUCCUACGGGAGGCAGCAGUAGGGAAUCUUCAGCAAUGGGCGAAAGCCUGACGGAGCAACGCCGCGGGAGUGAUGAAGUUCUUCGGAGCGUAAAACUCUGUUAUAAAGGAAGAACAUAUGUGUAAGUAACUGUGCACAUCUUGACGGUACCUAAUCAGAAAGCCACGGCUAACUACGUG
rnacentral:rRNA from 1 species